CCUACGGGUGGCUGCAGUGAGGAAUAUUGGUCAAUGGGCGCGAGUCUGAACCAGCCAAGUAGCGUGAAGGAUGACUGCCCUCCGGGUUGUAAACUUCUUUUAUAAAGGACUAAAGUGAGGCACGUGUGCCUUUUUGUAUGUACUUUAUGAAUAAGGAUCGGCUAACUCCGUGCCAUCAGCAGCGGUAAUACGGAGGAUCCGAGCGUUAGCCGGAUGUCUUGUGUUUAAAGGGAGCGUAGAUGGGUUGUUAAGUCAGUUGUGAAAGUUUGCUGCUCAACCGUAAAAUUGCAAUUGAUACUGGCAGUCUUGAGUACAGUUGAGGUAGGCGGAAUUCGUGGUGUAGCGGUGAAAUGCGUAGAUAUCACGAAGAACCCCGAUUGCGAAGGCAGCUUACUAAACUGUGACUGACAUUGAUGCUCGAAAGUGUGGGUAUCAAACAGGAUUAGAUACCCUUGUAGUC
rnacentral:rRNA from 1 species